rnacentral:rRNA from 1 species
GACGAACGCUGGCGGCGUGCUUAACACAUGCAAGUCGAACGGAAAGGCCCUGCUUUUGUGGGGUGCUCGAGUGGCGAACGGGUGAGUAACACGUGAGUAACCUGCCCUUGACUUUGGGAUAACUUCAGGAAACUGGGGCUAAUACCGGAUAGGAGCUCCUGCUGCAUGGUGGGGGUUGGAAAGUUUCGGCGGUCGGGGAUGGACUCGCGGCUUAUCAGCUUGUUGGUGGGGUAGUGGCUUACCAAGGCUUUGACGGGUAGCCGGCCUGAGAGGGUGACCGGGCACAUUGGGACUGAGAUACGGCCCAGACUCCUACGGGAGGCAGCAGUGGGGAAUAUGGCACAAUGGGCGGGAGCCUGAUGCAGCAGCGCCGCGUGCGGGAUGACGGCCUUCGGGUAGUAAACCGCUUUCGCCUGUGACGAAGCGUGAGUGACGGUAAUGGGUAAAGAAGCACCGGCUAACUACGUG